rnacentral:rRNA from 1 species
UGGCGACCGGCGCACGGGUGAGUAACACGUAUCCAACCUGCCGAUGACUCGGGGAUAGCCUUUCGAAAGAAAGAUUAAUACCCGAUAGCAUAAUGAUUCCGCAUGGUUUCAUUAUUAAAGGAUUCCGGUAAAGGAUGGGGAUGCGUUCCAUUAGGUUGUCGGUGAGGUAACGGCUCACCAAGCCUUCGAUGGAUAGGGGUUCUGAGAGGAAGGUCCCCCACAUUGGAACUGAGACACGGUCCAA